CGGGGAGACCCUACAGGAGUCGACAGGUAACUUCUCGUCGCCCGGUUACCCCAACGGUUACCCCUCGUACACACACUGUGUCUGGAGGGUCUCUGUCACCCCGGGAGAGAAGAUUGUUCUAAACUUUACCACUAUGGACCUGUAUAAGAGCUCUCUCUGUUGGUAUGACUACAUAGAAGUUAGAGAUGGAUACUGGAGGAAGGCCCCACUGCUAGGUAGGUUCUGUGGGGAUCAGGUUCCUGAGGGUCUGGUGUCGUCAGAGAGUCGGAUGUGGAUUGAGUUCGAAGCAGCAGUAACUGGGUGGGAAAGGGAUUUACA